GAGGAAGAACCCGAAAAUCCUUAAAAAAGUAGGGA
rnacentral:ncRNA from 1 species